UGGGCUGUGGCUCAGUGGUAGAGCGCUCGCCUAGCAUGGGUAAAGGCACUGGGUUCGAACCUCAGCACCCCAU
rfam:Ictidomys tridecemlineatus contig031507, whole genome shotgun sequence.